GUGAGGAAUAUUGGUCAAUGGGCGCAAGCCUGAACCAGCCAUCCCGCGUGAAGGAAGAAGGCGCUAUGCGUUGUAAACUUCUUUUCCAGGGGGAGAAUUUUUCCGUCGUGACGGGAAUUGACGGUACUCUGGGAAUAAGCAUCGGCUAACUCCGUGCCAGCAGCCGCGGUAAUACGGAGGAUGCGAGCGUUAUCCGGAUUUAUUGGGUUUAAAGGGUGCGUAGGCGGAUAGAUAAGUCAGUGGUGAAAUUCUGCAGCUUAACUGUAGACUUGCCGUUGAUACUGUCAGUCUUGAGUAUGGUCAAGGCAGGCGGAAUGUGUAAUGUAGCGGUGAAAUGCUUAGAUAUUACACAGAACACCGAUUGCGAAGGCAGCUUGCUGGGCCAUUACUGACGCUGAUGCACGAAAGCGUGGGGAUCGAACAGGAUUAGAAACCCCAGUAGUCC
rnacentral:rRNA from 1 species